rnacentral:tRNA from 1 species
AAGAAAGAGGCAGAGUGGUUAUGUGGCUGGCUUGAAACUAGCUCACGGGGGUUCGAUUCCCUCCUUUCUUG